GCUUGCUGGGCGGAUUAGUGGCGAACGGGUGAGUAAUACGUGAGUAACCUGCCCCUGACUCUGGGAUAAGCCUGGGAAACCGGGUCUAAUACUGGAUACGACUCCUCACCGCAUGGUGGGGGGUGGAAAGGGUUCACUGGUUUUGGAUGGGCUCACGGCCUAUCAGCUUGUUGGUGGGGUAAUGGCUCACCAAGGCGACGACGGGUAGCCGGCCUGAGAGGGUGACCGGCCACACUGGGACUGAGACACGGCCCAGACUCCUACGGGAGGCAGCAGUGGGGAAUAUUGCACAAUGGGCGAAAGCCUGAUGCAGCGACGCCGCGUGAGGGAUGACGGCCUUCGGGUUGUAAACCUCUUUCAGUAGGGAAGAAGCGCAAGUGACGGUACCUGCAGAAGAAGCGCCGGCUAACUACGUGCCAGCAGCCGCGGUAAUACGUAGGGCGCAAGCGUUGUCCGGAAUUAUUGGGCGUAAAGAGCUCGUAGGCGGUUUGUCGCGUCCGCUGUGAAAGCCCGGGGCUCAACCCCGGGUCGGCAGUGGGUACGGGCAGACUAGAGUGCAGUAGGGGAGACUGGAAUUCCUGGUGUAGCGGUGAAAUGCGCAGAUAUCAGGAGGAACACCGAUGGCGAAGGCAGGUCUCUGGGCUGUUACUGACGCUGAGGAGCGAAAGCAUGGG
rnacentral:rRNA from 1 species